CCUACGGGAGGCUGCAGUGAGGAAUAUUGGUCAAUGGACGAGAGUCUGAACCAGCCAAGUAGCGUGAAGGAUGACUGCCCUAUGGGUUGUAAACUUCUUUUAUAUGGGAAUAAAAUGUUCCACGUGUGGGAGUUUGUAUGUACCAUAUGAAUAAGGAUCGGCUAACUCCGUGCCAGCAGCCGCGGUAAUACGGAGGGUCCGAGCGUUAUCCGGAUUUAUUGGGUUUAAGGGUAGCGUAGGUGGCUUGUUAAGUCAGUUGUGAAAGGUUGCGGCUAAACCGGAAAAAUGCAGUUGAAACUGGCAGUCUUGAGUACAGUAGAGGUGGGCGGAAUUCGUGGUGUAGCGGUGAAAUGCUUAGAUAUCACGAAGAACUCCGAUUGCGAAGGCAGCUCACUGGACUGCAACUGACACUGAGGCUCGAAAGUGUGGGUAUCAAACAGGAUUAGAUACCCUUGUAGUC
rnacentral:rRNA from 1 species